AUGCAGAUGGAUGCUUACAGAGAUGAAAAGUCCUGUAGCUUGAUCCACCAGGAUCAGAGUCCUGAGAAACUCUGGGGGUGCCUGAACUUCCUGUAUAGUAAGAGACAUGCAAACAGGUUUCUCCGUCUGCUGAUAAAAACCAGCCCAGCCCUGACCCUGCAGCUCUGGGAGAGGAGCACCAGUCCUGGGAUGCCCAGGUGUUUCCAUUCGGUGUUCAGCACUGAACACAGAGGACUCACUGUGGAGAUUGGGCUGGCCUGGGUUUUCCUUGUUGCUGUUUUAAAAGGUGUCCAGUGUGAGGUGCAGCUGGUAGAGUCUGGGGGAGGCCUGGUACAGCCUGGGGGAUCCAUGAGACUCUCCUUGGAAGCCUCUGGAUUCACCUUCAAUAGCUAUGGCAUGAGCUGGGUUCACCAGACUCCAGGGAAGGGGCUGGAGUGGGUCUCAACUAUUAGUGGUAAUGGAGUUAGCACAUGGUACCCAGAUGCUGUGAAGGGUCAAUUCACCAUCUCCAGAGACAAUGCCAAAAACUCCCUGUAUCUGCAAAUGAACAGCCUGAGUGUUGAGGAUACAGCCAUGUAUUACUGUGCAAAAGACACAGUGAGGAGAAGUCACUAA